GCCGGGCAUGGUGGUACAUGCCUGUAAUCCCAGCAGCUCAGGAGGCUGAGGCAGGAGGAUUGCAAGUUCAAAGCCAGCCUCAAGCAACAGCAAGGCCCUAAGCAACAGUGAGAUCCUGUCUCUG
rnacentral:sRNA from 1 species